CCUACGGGGGGCAGCAGUAGGGAAUAUUGCUCAAUGGGGGAAACCCUGAAGCAGCAACGCCGCGUGGAGGAUGAAGGGUUUCGGCGUGUAAAGCCCUUUUGUUAGGGAAGAAAAUGACGGUAUCUAUCCAAUAAGCCCCGGCUAACUACGUGCCAGCAGCCGCGGUAAUACGGAGGGUGCAAGCGUUAUCCGGAUUAACUGGGCGUAAAGGGGGCGUAGGCGGGAUAGCAAGUCAGCAGUGAAAUCCCGUGGCUUAACCAUGGAACUGCGGUUGCAACUGUAUUGCUGGAGUACGGGAGAGGUAGGUGGAAUUCGUGGUGUAGCGGUGAAAUGCGUAGAUAUCAGGAGGAACACCGAUUGCGAAGGCGGCCUGCUGGAACGUAACUGACGCUGAGGCGCGAAGGCGUGGGGAGCAAACAGGAUUAGAUACCCCAGUAGUC
rnacentral:rRNA from 1 species